AAUGAAAUGCCUGAUUAAAAGGAUUAUUUUGAUAGAAUAAAAAAUGUAAAAUUUUACUUUCAUUA
rnacentral:tRNA from 1 species